rnacentral:rRNA from 1 species
CAAUAGCGUAUAUUAAAGUUGUUGCAGUUAAAAAGCUCGUAGUUGGAUUUCUGGUCGGAAGCUCCUGUCCUCUGAUGAGCGUACAAGUGCGUCCCACCAUCCUUCUGUUAACCUUUAAGGCUUUCGCGGCUUUCUAGGGGCUCAGAUAUUUUACCUUGAGAAAAUUAGAGUGUUUCAGGCAGGCUAGCGCCGGAAUACAUUAGCAUGGAAUAAUGGAAUAGGACUUUUGCCUCUUCUGUUGGUCAUGAGGCUCGAGUAAUGAUUAAUAGGGAUAGUUGGGGGCAUUAGUACUUAACUGUCAGAGGUGAAAUUCUCGGAUUUGUUAAAGACUAACUUAUGCGAAAGCAUUUGCCAAGGAUGUUUUCAUUAA